AUGCAAUAAGUAAUGUGAAUUACAUAAUCUCAUGCAUCAUCGAAUCUUUGAACGCACAUUGCGCCCUAUGGUAUUCCGUAGGGCAUACCUGUCUGAGUGUCAGCCCUCCUAUACUCAAGUCUCUUAAUUAAAUCUUAGCUCACUUUAAAGAAGUGGCUGAAAUAUAAUAGACUACUCUUUAGAAAUUUAUAGGCAGUAUGGCACCUGAACCAAGCGUAAUAAGGAUAUAAAAGCGUCUCUCUUUAGGAAGGUUGUACUUGCCUUAACCCACACAUUUUCUUCUGGGUGGCCUCAGAUCAGGUAGGGAUACCCGCUGAACUUAA
rnacentral:rRNA from 1 species